GCACCAUGAUAUGCCAAGCUCUGCUGCUGCCAUGGGCCUCCAAGCCAGAAGGAACAAGAGCAGAGCACAGCCCUACCAGCAUUCUCUGCCACCUUCUCAGCCAGGUACAACACAAACCCUGAUUACUGGUUUUCAGCAGAAUUACCCUUUAUGGCAAGAUAACACCAUGCAGCAGCUGUAAAGGCAACAAAACUCAGCUGGCUGCUGCUUCUAUGAUUCAAAGUUCUCAAAAUGCAGUCAAAGCCACUUUCAGCUAGUUUCACUUGAAAAAAAGUCAAGCAAACCCAUGAGUUUCACCCAAAACACAAGCCAUAAACCAUCAAAGGUUCUGUUAGAGGGCUGGUGAACUUUAGCAAUGCCUUUGAUGAAAAUGGUCUGAGUUUCAAGUGUGUAAUGAAACCCCAAAUCAUUCAAGUUUCACAUGGUUGCAAAUAUUUCUCACAGUUCUGAUCAAAGGUGUAUUCAGCAGGGAAGAAGCUUUGAUUUUGCAGUACAGGGGACGUGCUGAAAUUUUCAAAGCCAGGCCCUGGGAUUUAGAUGAGCAGUUCUUCUUGGAAGCGAUACAGCUAAACUUAGAAACGCUUAGGGGGAAGUAAUGUGAAGAUGGCACAUUUGGAUUACUCCUUUUACCCCAGCUCCCUUCCCAGGGGGAAGUUUUAAUUCCCCUCUCUGACGUUUAGGAGGCUGCAUGCCCCCACAGCAUGUCUGGGUUCAACACUGUUCCCCCCUACAUAGCCGUUUCCAAUACUCUUCCUCAGCUUCACUCUCUCAGCUGCUGAUAUUGCUGCUCUGUAGCACAGCACUGCAGAGGAAAGCUGAAGUGCGUCUUGAGGAGGAGGUAUUAAUGCUGUUGGAGUGCUUGGUAACCCAUAUUCCAGCAGGCCAAUGCAAAAGGCACAGGACACAGCUUGGAGGUUUCCCUGGGCACCUCUACAGGGUCCCUCCACCACCCUGUGUCUUCCAGGCCAGCACCACCUUGGGUGAACCAGGAAAGCAGCUGCAUCUUCCACUGCACUCAGUGGUGAGACCCAAAUCCCGCCAGAGCCAGAGGCAUAUGUAAAUGUCUGGUUUUAAUACCACUGCCUUGCUGUGAAGUCUUCAUUUGUGACAAAGAUUUCCAUAGCAACAGACUGAUCUCACUAGCAGGACUGUGGUCCCUUUGGAAGAGCAGGUGGAAGGAGGGAAUAGAGAAAGCACAACCCUGCACAAAAUGCUAUAAGGAAGCUGAUACAAGUAUUCAUGCAACAGGGAACUGGGCUUCAGCAGGUCCAAACUCCCAAGGAAAGGGAAUUCACCAGGAAAGCUGUGCAGAGGAUGCUGUGAACUCCUUAGACUGGGGGUUUGUGAUGAAGUCUCAUUAGCUGACUAACCUUUGUGAGCACGUUGGUGUUGCAGCAGGAACUGCUUCAUGAAGAAGAUUAUUCAUUAAUCAUGAAUUCCUCAAGGACUGUCUGAAAAACCUGGGCAGGUCAGCUGCUAAACCCUGUGUUGACUGGUGGCCCAGAGAGCAGAGCAGUGGGAAAUUAAAAGGGUAUUUAACCUUUGCCAGGUGGUUUGUGGGGUUUCCUUUUUAACCCAAGUCUCUUUUGUUUCCUGCUGUGGAGAAUCAGUUUUGUUGUGACAGAACAUUUGAUAGUGAUUGUAGUGGAUUGUUUGGCUUACAAGCCCUACAAAUGUAGAAACCGAGAUUUGCUUUUUCUGUUUCAAUUUGUUCUUGAACCAAUCUCCCAUUUAGAAGGGAACUGCUGCUGCGUGGUCCUGCACAUUAUUCAUUACAGAAGCAGCCUGGGAUACUGUAGAGCCUCAUUUCUUACUGGGAAGAACUCCAUACUUCUUGGAGCUAGACCUUCUCUAAACUCAAAGUCAGAGCCUGCAGCCUCCAAGUGCAAUUAGCUGAGCAGUGUCUUCCUUAAGUGGCACUAAAGCCUAAUGCAUUUAAUGAUGAGUCAAAAUGGUUGGAACUUUAUCAGACAAUAAACAUAUCAAUCAUU